rnacentral:misc_RNA from 1 species
GCAAACUUGGUCAUUUAGAGGAAGUACAAGUCGUAACAAGGUUUCCGUAGGUGAACCUGCGGAAGGAUCAUUAACAAAUCAAUGUUGGUGUGUAAUAUGCAGAUGUAUAUUUUUUAUGUGUGCACAUUAUACACUAUAUUUGUGCUCCAAGCUAGUCUUGGUUGCAUCAUAUCAUAUUCAUGAAUUUUAUUAUACUAGUGUCAUUUUAUAACAAGUAAUCUAUUAAUACUUUUAACAAUGGAUCUCUUGGCUCUUGCAUCGAUGAAGAACGCAGC